rnacentral:rRNA from 1 species
UACAUGGGGUGCAAACGUUGCUCGGAAUUAUUGGGCGUAAAGCGCACGUAGGCGGUUCGUUAAGUCGGAUGUGAAAGCCCUCGGCUCAACUGAGGAAGUGCACCCGAAACUGGCGAGCUUGAGUACGAAAGAGGAUCGCGGAAUUCCCGGUGUAGAGGUGAAAUUCGUAGAUAUCGGGAGGAACACCGGUGGCGAAGGCGGCGAUCGUGGGUCGAGUACUGAACGCUGAGGUGCGAAAGCGUGGGGAGCAAACAGGG